rnacentral:rRNA from 1 species
UACGAAGGGGGCUAGCGUUGCUCGGAAUCACUGGGCGUAAAGGGUGCGUAGGCGGGUCUUUUAAGUCAGGGGGUGAAAUCCUGGAGCUCAACUCCAGAACUGCCUUUGAUACUGAAGAUCUUGAGUUCGGGAGAGGUGAGUGGAACUGCGAGUGUAGAGGUGAAAUUCGUAGAUAUUCGCAAGAACACCAGUGGCGAAGGCGGCUCACUGGCCCGAUACUGACGCUGAUGCACGAAAGCGUGGGGAGCAAACAGG